rnacentral:rRNA from 1 species
AUUGAACGCUAGCGGCAGGCCUAACACAUGCAAGUCGAACGAGUGGCGGACGGGUGAGUAAUGUCUGGGAAACUGCCCGAUGGAGGGGGAUAACUACUGGAAACGGUAGCUAAUACCGCAUACCAUCGGAUGUGCCCAGAGGGGAUUAGCUAGUAGGUGGGGUACCGGCUCACCUAGGCGACGCUCCCUAGCUGGUCUGAGAGGCUGACUAGACACACGGUAACUGAGACACGGUCCGGACGCCUACGGGAAGCAGCAGUGGGGAAUAUUGCACAAUGGGCGCAAGUCUGAGUCAGCCAUGCCGCGUGUAUGAAGAAGGCCUUCGGGUUGUAAAGUACUUUCAGCGAGGAGGCGUUACUCGCAGAAGAAGCACCGGCUAACUCCGUGCCAGCAGCCGCGGUAAUAC